rnacentral:rRNA from 1 species
UAAUACGGAGGGUGCAAGCGUUAUCCGGAUUCACUGGGUUUAAAGGGUGCGUAGGCGGGCAGGUAAGUCAGUGGUGAAAUCUUCGAGCUUAACUCGGAAACUGCCGUUGAUACUAUCUGUCUUGAAUUUUGUGGAGGUGAGCGGAAUAUGUCAUGUAGCGGUGAAAUGCUUAGAUAUGACAUAGAACACCGAUUGCGAAGGCAGCUCACUACACAACGAUUGACGCUGAGGCACGAAAGCGUGGGGAUCAAACAGGAUUAGAUACCCUGGUAGUCCACGCCCUAAACGAUGAUUACUCGACAUACGUGAUAAACUAUGUGUGUCUGAGCGAAAGCAUUAAGUAAUCCACCUGGGAAGUACGACCGCAAGGUUG